UAGGGAAUCUUCGGCAAUGGGGGGAACCCUGACCGAGCAACGCCGCGUGAGUGAAGAAGGUUUUCGGAUCGUAAAGCUCUGUUGUUAGAGAAGAACGUGUGUGAGAGUGGAAAGUUCACACAGUGACGGUAACUAACCAGAAAGGGACGGCUAACUACGUGCCAGCAGCCGCGGUAAUACGUAGGUCCCGAGCGUUGUCCGGAUUUAUUGGGCGUAAAGCGAGCGCAGGCGGUUCUGUAAGUCUGAAGUUAAAGGCAGUGGCUUAACCAUUGUACGCUUUGGAAACUGCAGGACUUGAGUGCAGAAGGGGAGAGUGGAAUUCCAUGUGUAGCGGUGAAAUGCGUAGAUAUAUGGAGGAACACCGGUGGCGAAAGCGGCUCUCUGGUCUGUAACUGACGCUGAGGCUCGAAAGCGUGGGGAGCAAACAGGAUUAGAUACCCUGGUAGU
rnacentral:rRNA from 1 species